rnacentral:rRNA from 1 species
UACGUAGGGUGCAAGCGUUUAAUCGGAAUUACUGGGCGUAAAGCGUGCGCAGGCGGUUUUGUAAGUCAGAUGUGAAAUCCCCGGGCUUAACCUGGGAACUGCGUUUGAAACUACAAGGCUAGAGUGUGGCAGAGGGGGGUGGAAUUCCACGUGUAGCAGUGAAAUGCGUAGAGAUGUGGAGGAACACCGAUGGCGAAGGCAGCCCCCUGGGUCAAGAUUGACGCUCAUGCACGAAAGCGUGGGGAGCAAACAGG